GGCUUCUCAUAGCCCCCUUUGGAGCAGUGUCUCCCGAAACGCUGCGGAAAGUGAGCUUUAAUAUAAAGGAGACGCAAGCCUCGAACUCUAACUGGCUCGAGGAAACAUCCUUUUGGCUUUUUGAAGUUCGGAUGUUUCGGAAAUUACUCCCAGCUCGCUGGCCACGUCCCCCAUAAAACUGGAAGAUUUUCUCCAUGUCGCAUCCCCCAGCGCACCUGGGAAAGGAGCGUGGAACUGCCUGGCACAGGAACAUUCACCUCACAGUCAUAUCUGGUCAAUUCGGGCAGCAGGUAUGGCUCAAAUGAAGACCCGAGCAGACGGCUUGCCAUGCCUGGAAUAGAGGUCAUCUUUCAGGCCUGCCACUUUGAGGGCCACAGAAGAUUUGUGACCCAUGGCAAAGCCAAGCCACCUCUGCCUACCCUCAGAUGGGGCUGAAGAAGGGCCGGCCCCCAGCAUCCCCACCCAGCCUCUGCAGAAGCCGUGAUGAGUCCUCCCUGCUCCUCCUCCUUGCAGAUGUCUCCCAGUUAGACUGAGGCUUAUGACUUCGCUCCUGAACUGCUUAACAUCUGUGUUCACUGUACAGAAAUAUUGGGGACUGUCUUCAUCCUCAGUCUUGAAUGCUCCCUCUGCUACCAUUAAAUCAGUAACAAA